AGCCCUGUGGCUCAGUUGGUAGAGCAUGGUGUUUGCAACGCCAGGGUUGUGGGUUCGAUUCCCACGGGGGGCCA
rnacentral:tRNA from 1 species